rnacentral:misc_RNA from 1 species
ACGUGUUGUUGUCAUGUCAGUUGCUUUGACGUGUAUGAACAGCUGUCAACUAUAGAUCUUGUUUUCCAUUUCCCGAUAAUGAGAAGGAAAAAGUAACCAGUGUUGUGUGAAAAUCUUACUAAAACAUACAUUUGUUUAUAUGUUAACGUGAGAGACAAUUAUAAUAUACCAAAAUGGUUCUGAUGACUAUGAUCGCGAGGGUCGUAGACGGCCUCCCCCUGGCCGCUACUAUGCAAGAGGAUGAGCAGAGCGGCUGCAAUGUUCUGGAGUACCAAAAUCAGGCUAAAAUGCUGUUUAGAAAACUAGGCCCACAGUCGCCGACGCGUUGCUCCAUCGAAACUGGGCCCUAUCUCUUCCAUUAUCUAAUUGAGCAUGAGAUCUGCUACCUAGUGCUGUGUGAGCGCAACUACAGCAAGAGACUGGCAUUCAGCUACCUCGAGGAGAUUGCACAGGAGUUCUACCAGCAAUACGGCAAGCGGGUGAACACAGUAACCCGGCCAUACACGUUCAUAGAGUUCGACACGUGGAUGCAGCGCGCGCGGCGGCAGUACGCGGAGGGCGGCGCCCGCGCACGCCGCGCCGGCGCCGCCGCGCAGCUCGGCGGCCAGCUGGGCGACGUGCAGCGCAUCAUGAUGCAGAACAUCGACGAUGUGCUGCAGAGGGGAGCUAUACUCUCCGAACUGGAUACAAAAACCCAGAACCUAUCAAUGAUGUCUUCGAAGUACAAGAAGGAUGCAACCUAUCUAAACACCAAGUCUAUGCUGGUGAAGGUAACAGCGGGCGCUGUCAUACUGCUGGUGUUUGUACUCUACUUCUGGGUCCUUUAGGCCCGCUCAUACUUUAGGAUCCUUCAUCUGUGGUAUAGCAUAUACUAGAGCUGGGGACUCUGCGGUAACAUUCAAUGCUAUGAGGUCAUUGAAACUUCCACUGAUAUGAUUCUUCUAUAAUAAGUUUAUUCACACUAAUGAAUGAAAGUUAAUUUAUUUAACAGAGUUUUACAAAAAUGUUCUAAAUGAAGUUUUACAUGCAAUGAAAGAAUCAAGUUCUCACCACAACCUCCAAUCAAGUUCCAUAUGAUAAAAGCAUUGUAUGAUGCUGCAGAGUGACAGUUACCCCAGCAGUGUGACAGCUAAGCUGUUAUAGUUGAAUUGCCUUUUGAAACUAUAAUAGUACAGUUAUGGGAUAUUUAUGUAAAAGCAAGAUUUCAUAUUUUCUAUGUGAUUCCUCUGGACAGUUUUGUAUUUAGACAUAGCAAUGAAGUAUAAUAGGAGUAAGGAGCUAUAUAGCCGAUUUAUAAUUUGUUUAUUUACCCUGCAUCAAUAUUUAGUUCUCAUUUAUUGAAUCAACUACUGAGUAUGAUGAAUCUGAGUAUAUAACUGGCUUCCUAAAACAUUGAAAAUUUAAUUAUUUAGCAUGAAAAGCAUUCCAAGCAGUUAUUUUUUUUAUAAAUCUUACCAAAAAUUAUGAUAUUUGAUAAAAAAUCUGAUUCAUAGUGCAUAGCAAUGUGUUUGGUAUGACAAUAUGGGAUAUUCAGCUUAAAAGUGUAAGUUAACUCCAGCAGAAGCAAAAUUAUAUGAUUAUAUGCCCAUCAUUAUUAUUUUAUGUAAAAAGCGCAGCGAGUGCUUGGUGAUGGAAUGUUGUAAAUUUUAUCACAUAUUGUUAAUUAAUGUAUUUAUUUAAGAUUUAAUAAAUAUGCAUUCUUUUAA